AUACGGAGGGUGCAAGCGUUAUCCGGAUUUAUUGGGUUUAAAGGGUGCGCAGGCGGACCUGUCAGUCAGUGGUGAAAUCCCGGGGCUCAACCCCGGAACUGCCAUUGAUACUACAGGUCUUGAAUACGGUUGAAGUAGGCGGAAUGUAGCAUGUAGCGGUGAAAUGCAUAGAUAUGCUACAGAACACCGAUCGCGAAGGCAGCUUACUAAGCCGAUAUUGACGCUCAGGCACGAAAGCGUGGGUAGCGAACAGAAUUAGAAACCCUAGUAGUCC
rnacentral:rRNA from 1 species